rnacentral:rRNA from 1 species
UACGAAGGGGGCUAGCGUUGUUCGGAUUUACUGGGCGUAAAGCGCACGUAGGCGGAUCGAUCAGUCAGGGGUGAAAUCCCAGAGCUCAACUCUGGAACUGCCUUUGAUACUGUCGAUCUGGAGUAUGGAAGAGGUGAGUGGAAUUCCGAGUGUAGAGGUGAAAUUCGUAGAUAUUCGGAGGAACACCAGUGGCGAAAGGCGGCUCACUGGGUCCAUUACUGACGCUGAGGU